CCACAGGACAUUGUAACUGGCAAGGCAGAAGCAGAUCUCUCCUCCAAACAAACCAACCUUGGAUACCUACUAAGUGCCAAGAUGCACAUUAGGGGCUUGUCACGGUUCUGCUGGCAAUGGCAGGGGAGGGGAAGGGCACAGAAGAAAAAGAAAUACACACCCACUUUCUGCUCCGCUCAGAAUCCUCAGUGACACCUCCUCCCACCCCUAUGCCCUCCGUCCAUCCACUCCUGGAGCACAGCCCCGCCAGACCUGGCCGGGCCCAGCCCCGCACCCAGGGCCUCCACCAGAACGCUAUUCCCACUGCGGCACCCCCUGGUAGCCAACGCCGUGACUCCUGCCUGACAUCAGGAAGUGGAAUCCCCACCUUCACCUGACACUAUGCAGCAACUAAGGCUCCAACGAUGCCCCAUCCUUGCUUGAAGUACACCUGGACAUAUCCUUCUAUUGGCUCCUCAUGUGCUAACAAAAGUCCUCCUGAUAACACAGCCACAAUGAGAAUACAAGAGAGUGUUCCAAAUGCCACAAUACCACUUGUGAUGCUUCUCACCCAAACAGAAAGCCAGAUACUUCCUCAAGCCAUCCUCAAUUUGAGCACAUCCUGCAAGCCCAAGUCUGGGAUAAGCAACGAUGGCUUCAAUAACUCAUAUCCUCCCUAACCCAUCAACAACUGAGACUCUCCAUGAAGCACACUACAGAAGAGCCUGCACUUUUUUAGCAAAGCCAGAACAAGAGGGAGAAAGUAAGUCCUACCCUUCAGACACUGGGACAUAAUGCCUUUCUGAUGUAUCAGGACCCUUGGAGUGGGAAGAAUUAAGACUAAAAAUGUUCUAGUCUCAGCAAUGGUCACUUAUGGUUCUAGUCCCUUUUUGGAUGCUAUGCAUAUGUCUUCCAGAAAUGGAACAAUAUUUUGAAUCAUUUUACUAGACCCUGUCCACAUCCUGAGACCAGAACAUUUUUAGUCUUAAUGCAAGUUAUUCAACCAAGACCCAUCAUAAAAAUCUUCAGCAAGAACAUGUUUCAAAUCAGAUAUCAAAAUCACUAUAAAAAUUACCCCAGCUCUAAAAAUAUGCAGUGCUUUUUCAUUAGGAUGAGAUGAAAGGACUCUAACAGUAGGUAUAAGGAAGUGGCUAAGAGGCCUCUGGCUGCAGGUCCAGGCACUGAGGAGACUGCAAGCAUCCCAGUAAUUCACAGUUGCAGAGAAUAGGGUAGGAAAGGAAGGUGAUGUUGUG
rnacentral:lncRNA from 1 species